CCAAUAGCGUAUAUUAAAGUUGUUGCAGUUAAAAAGCUCGUAGUUGAAUUUCGGGAUUGACGUGAUGGUCGUGCCUUACGGGGUAUGAACUGUCGCAGUUGAUUUCUCACCUUCUGGAGAAGCUCGAUGUCCUUAAUUGGGUGUCUUGCGGAACCAGGACCUUUACCUUGAAAAAAUUAGAGUGUUUAAAGCAGGCAUUUUGCUCGAAUACAUUAGCAUGGAAUAAUAGAAUAGGACGGCAUGGUUCUAUUUUGUUGGUUUCUAGGAUCACCGUAAUGAUUAAUAGGGAUAGUCGGGGGCAUUAGUAUUCAAUUGUCAGAGGUGAAAUUCUUGGAUUUAUUGAAGACUAACUACUGCGAAAGCAUUUGCCAAGGAUGUUUUCAUUAGGCAAGAACGAAAGUUAGGGGAUCGAAGACGAUCAGAUACCGUCGUAGUCUUAACCAUAAACUAUGCCGACUAGGAAUCAGACGAUGUUAAUUUUUUAAUGACUCGUUUGGCACCUUACG
rnacentral:rRNA from 1 species